GAUGAACGCUGGCGGCGUGCCUAAUACAUGCAAGUCGAACGCAUAGCGAAAGGUGCUUGCACCUUUCAAGUGAGUGGCGAACGGGUGAGUAACACGUGGACAACCUGCCUCAAGGCUGGGGAUAACAUUUGGAAACAGAUGCUAAUACCGAAUAAAACUUAGUGUCGCAUGACACAAAGUUAAAAGGCGCUUCGGCGUCACCCAGAGAUGGAUCCGCGGUGCAUUAGUUAGUUGGUGGGGUAAAGGCCUACCAAGACAAUGAUGCAUAGCCGAGUUGAGAGACUGAUCGGCCACAUUGGGACUGAGACACGGCCCAAACUCCUACGGGAGGCUGCAGUAGGGAAUCUUCCACAAUGGGCGAAAGCCUGAUGGAGCAACGCCGCGUGUGUGAUGAAGGCUUUCGGGUCGUAAAGCACUGUUGUAUGGGAAGAACAGCUAGAAUAGGAAAUGAUUUUAGUUUGACGGUACCAUACCAGAAAGGGACGGCUAAAUACGUG
rnacentral:rRNA from 1 species